rnacentral:tRNA from 1 species
GCCUGGCUGGCUCAGUCAGUGGAGCACGCAACUCUUGAUUUCGAGGUUGUGAGUUUGAGCCCCACAUUGGGCA